AUCCUAUACAGAUGUAUUCAACGCUAGCCAGUUGGGCAUCUCCCUGUAGGAUGAAGUUUAAUUAGAAGUCCUAGCAACAAUUCUUAUUGUGUGGCUACGGUCGAAAUGAGAUGAGUUAGGAUGGAAGAGGUUAACCGUAAGACCUUGAGUUGCAAAACUCUAAAAUUGAGCUAGAGAUGUGGAUUUUCUCAUUUUCUAGUUACGGCUAG
rnacentral:ncRNA from 1 species